UGUAAGUGGUACGGGAGCAUUGUAGUUGUGUAGAAGGUGAACUGUAAGGUUUGCUGGAACGGCUACAAAAGAAAAUGUAGGCAUAAGUAACGAUAAAGGGGGCGAGAAACCCCCUCACCGAAAGACUAAGGUUUCCUCAGCGAUGCUAAUCAGCUGAGGGUUAGUCGGGACCUAAGGCGAACCCGAAAGGGGUAGUCGAUGGACAACAGGUUAAUAUUCCUGUACUUCUUAUAAUUGCGAUGGGGUGACGGAGUAUUGAAAGCACCGCGAACUGACGGAAAUGUUCGUUGAAGAAUGUA
rnacentral:rRNA from 1 species